rnacentral:rRNA from 1 species
AGAGAGUUAAGAGAAGGGCGUACGGGGGUUGCCUAGGGUCUCAGUAGAGGCGAAGAAGGACGUGAUAAGCUGCGAAAAGCUACGAGGAGUACAUCUCAUGCAAUCCGUAGAUAUCCGAAUGGGGUAACCCACACCUCCAGGUGAAGGCUGGAACCUACGAUAAGUGAGGAGCGGAACGUGGGGAACUGAAACAUCUAAGUACCCAGGAGAAGAAAACACCAGUGAUUCCGAGGCAGUGGCGAGCGAAAUCGGAUUAGCCCAAACCGGAAGUUAUUGCAAUUUCUGAGGUUAUAGGACUGCAUUUAGGAAAGUCUUAAAUUUGAAUGACAUGGGAAAGUCAGUCCAGAGGUGAUAGCCAAGAAAGAAAAUGAAACUGAUCGAGCAGUAUCCUGAGCAGGGGGAACCAGAGGAAUUUUUGAAUUCGGCAGUACCACCUGCUAUGGCUAAAUACUCCCGAGACCCGAUAGUGAACAAGUACUGUGGAAGGAAAGGUGAAAAGCACGGGGAGUACCCGGGUGAAAAAGGAAUCGAAACCGUACGCUGCAAAGGUCGGAGCCAGAUAUGGUGACGGCGUGCCUUUACAAUGAUCCACGAGUUACGGUCACCGGGAGAGUUAACUUUUCAAGGAAGGAGCCGAAGCGAGCGAAGUCUGAAAGGGAGUUGUUGGUGGCUGUAGACGCGAAACCUAGUGAGCCACUGACCAUGGUCAGGGUUGAAGGUUGGGUAAGACCAACUGGAGGACCGCACUGUAUACGUUGAAAAGUGUUCGGAUGAACUGUGGGUAGGGGUGAAGGCUAAUCAAACUGGGAAAUAGCUCCGCCCUCCUGAAAACGUAGCUAGGUACAGCGUGGAGGUAAGUAUUAUUGAGGUAGAGCUACCGAUUGGAUCAGGGGAGUCACAUCCUACCAAAUUCAGACGAACUCCUUGGAAUAGAUAAUAUACUCUUACCUGAGUAAGGGCUCAGGUGCUAGGUCAGAGUCCGAGAGGGAAAGACAUCCCAGAACUUGCACCUAAGGUCUCCAAUCCUAUACUAGUUGAACAAAGGAAGUCACUGUCCGAGACAGCGGGGAUGUUUGCUUGGAAGUAAUCAUUAAAGCGCGUAACAGCUCACUGGUCGAGCGGGGCGGGCAUCGAUUAUAAGCGGCAUAAAGUAAUGAAGCUUAGCCAAGACGUAACGUCUUGGUAGGGGAGCAUUCUAAUUACGGUGGAAGGGUCUUUGAGGGUCUUGGAGUGAUUAGGAAAAGCAAAUGUAGAAUAAGGAAGAUAAUGAAUGAGAACCAUUCACACCGAAAGACUAAGGAUUCCUCCAUGUCAAUCAACGAGGGUAAGUUGGAUCCUAAAGGAUAAUGAGAGCUGAAGCCGAUGGGAAAACAGGUUAAGAAUCCUGUACCAGCCUUGUAUUACGAAGCGGGGACGGACUGCUGGAGAGCUUAACUGAACUGGCGGAAACGUUCGUUGAGAGGAGUCUUCCGGACGAAUCGAAUUGGGGAUAGGAGUUCAAGAAAAGCGGAUAAGUUAUGGAUAUUCUGUGACCGUUCCGUAAACCGACACAGGUAGUCGAGGCAAACAAGGCGCUCGAGUGAAUCACGCCGCUAAGGAACCUGGUAACACCCCAACUUGGGAUAAAGGGAACCACUGGUUGGUGGUCGCAGAGAAAUGGGCCUGGCGACCGUUUAACAAAAACACAUGGCUAUGCGGGAAUGCUUAAUGUCGACAUCGCACAUGCGACACCGCGCCCGGUGCCGGAAGGUUAAGAGGGGAUGUCAUCGCAAGAGAAGCAUUGAAUCGAAGCCCCGGUAAACGGCGUUGUAACUACGUUGGUCCUAAGGUAGCGAAAUUCCUUUGUCAGGUAAGUUCCGACCUGCACGAAUGGUGUAACGAUCUGGGCUGUCUCAGGCGUGAGCUCGGCGAAAUGUGGUGACGGUGAAGAUGCCGUCUUACCCGCCACGGGACGGGAAGACCGUGAACCUUUACUAUAGCCUGGCGUUGGGACUGGUAUCUGAUGUAGGAUAGGUGGGAGACUGAGAUGCGGCGUCGCGUCGUUUAGUCAACGUUGAAACUCACCACCCUUUGGAUAUUGGUUUCCUAACCCUGGAAUGGGGGACAACGCUUGUGGGUAGUUUGUUCGAUUGGUCGCUCCAAAAGAGUAACGGAGGCUUUCAAAGGUUCCCUCAGCACGCUUGGUAACUGGCGAUGAGUGCAUAGUAAAAGGAGCUUGACUUGAGACAAACAAGUCGAACAGGCUGAAAGUAGGGAUAUAGUGAUCCGUGGUUCUGCAUGCCGGAAGGGCCAUGAUCAAGGAUAAAGGAACUCGGGGAUAACAGGCUGAUCUCCCCAAGAGCUCCUAUCGACGGGGGAAGGUUUGGCACCUCGAUGUCGGCUCGUCACAUCCGGGGCUGGAGAAGGUCCCGGGGUUCGGCUGUUUCGCCGAUUAAAGUGGCAUGCGCGCUGGGGUUCAGAACGUCGAGACAGUUGGUCCCUAUCUCCAUUGGGUGGCGUAGGAAGUUUGAGGGUUCUGAUUUUGGUACGAGAGGCCUGAUUGGACAUACCGGGCUGGUGUAUCUGUUGUCUUGCCAGGGCUGGCAGAGUAGCUAAGUAUGGAUGGGAUAAACGCUGCUGAAAGAAUCUAAGUGUGAAACCCGCCUCAAGAUGAGACUUCCCUAGAGGAACGUUGGAGAUUACGACGUAGAUAGCUCAGGUGAAAAGUGCGGUAACGUAUGAGCCGAGUAGUACUAACGUGAACCAUUGGAGGGCUCUUUAU